AUUGAACGCUGGCGGCAUGCUUUACACAUGCAAGUCGAACGGUAACAGGCCUUCGGGUGCUGACGAGUGGCGAACGGGUGCGUAAUGCAUCGGAACGCGUCCAGAGGUGGGGGAUAAUGGAGCGAAAGCUGUGCUAAUACCCCAUGUGAUCUGAGGCUGAAAGCGGGGGAACACGCAGCAAUGUUUGGCCUCGCGCCUUUGGAGCGGCCGAUGUCGGAUUAGGUAGUUGGUGGGGUAAAGGCCUACCAAGGCGACGAUCGGUAGCUGGUCUGAGAGGAUGAUCAGCCACACUGGAACUGAGACACGGCCCAGACUCCUACGGGAGGCAGCAGUGGGGAAUUUUGGACAAUGGGCGCAAGCCUGAUCCAGCAAUGCCGCGUGGGGGAAGAAGGCCUUCGGGUUGUAAAGCGCUUUUGUACGGAAAGAAAAGGAUCUGGCUAAUACCUGGGGCUGAUGACGGUACCGAAAGAAUAAGCACCGGCUAACUACGUG
rnacentral:rRNA from 1 species